GGCUCAGAAUGAACGCUGGCGGCGUGCCUAACACAUGCAAGUCGGAUGUGCCGCAAGGUGCAUGGCAGACGGGUGAGUAACGCGUAGGGAAUCUACCUUUUUGUGGGGAAUAACGCUCCGAAAGGAGUGGUAAUACCGCAUGAGACCGUGAGCUGGGAUGCUUACGGUGAAACCUGGGGACCGCAAGGCCUGGGGCAAAAAGAGGAUCCUGCGUCUGAUUAGCUAGUUGGCGGGGUAAUGGCCCACCAAGGCGACGAUCAGUAGCCGGCCUGAGAGGGUGAUCGGCCACACUGGAACUGAGACACGGUCCAGACUCCUACGGGAGGCAGCAGUGGGGAAUUUUGCGCAAUGGACGAAAGUCUGACGCAGCAACGCCGCGUGGGUGAUGAAGGUCUUCGGACUGUAAAACCCUGUCGUCAGGGACGAAGGCUGAGGGGUUAAUAACCCUUUAGCUUGACGGUACCUGGAGAGGAAGCCCCGGCUAACUCUGUGCCAGCAGCCGCGGUAAUACAGAGGGGGCAAACGUUAUUCGGAAUUAUUGGGCGUAAAGGGCGCGUAGGCGGUUUUUUAAGUCAGAUGUGUAAUCCCCGAGCUCAACUUGGGAACUGCAUCUGAGACUGGAAGGCUAGAGUACUGGAGAGGGUGGUGGAAUUCCUCGUGUAGCGGUGAAAUGCGUAGAGAUGAGGAGGAACACCAGUGGCGAAGGCGGCCACCUGGACAGUAACUGACGCUGAGGCGCGAAAGUGUGGGUAGCAAACAGGAUUAGAUACCCUGGUAGUCCACGCUGUAAACGAUGAACACUUGGUGUGGAGGGAGUUGACCCCUUCCGUGCCGGAGCUAACGCGUUAAGUGUUCCGCCUGGGGAGUACGGUCGCAAGGCUGAAACUC
rnacentral:rRNA from 1 species